AAACAGAGAAGAAACAGGGGAGAAAGAAAGAAAGAAAAAGAAAAAGGAAAAUUUGGGUUUCAAGGCUCAAAGUUUAAUUUGGUAAGUCAAUUAAGUCAUUUCUUCUUAAAUUUUGAUGUUUUAGAAGCUUUGGAACAAGACUUUGAUGAAAUUAAGUUGAUAUUUUGAGAGUUUAUAGAUUUUCAAGUAUAGUUCAUGUUGAAUAAAAUAGUGAAUUAAGGGUUUAAUUGAGUAAAUUUCAAGCUAGAAUUGAUAAUAGGAUCAAAUUGUAAAGUAAGUUAUAAGUUUUAUGUUGUAGGGACUAAAUUGAUGAAAUUUUGAAAUUAGGAAAGUAUGCUGGAAAUUUAAUAUUUAAAUGAGAGUAUGGAUGAAAUUUGAAUAGAAAUAAAGUAUGAAUUAAGAUAGAAAAGUAAGUGAAUUUAGUUAGAAUUAAAUUGAAAUUAAAGUAAAUCAACAUUUUGUACUAAGACUAUUUUGGACAGCAGCAGUAGUCUAAGUUUGAAAAAAAUCACCAAAAAUUGUAGAAAUUGAAUUAGAGGAUGAAUAAAAUAUGAAAUUAAAUAUUAUUGAGUCUAGUUUCUUAUAGAAGAAACGAUAUAAGCAAUUGAAUUGUAAAUUAUGAGAUAUAAUAAAUUUUGUGAGACAAUGUCAGAAUGAAUUCGGGUUCCCCUGUUCUGACUUUGGAAAAUCACCAAAAAUUGAAUAAAAAUAAUUAGAGGCUUAAAGUUAUAUGUUUAGAAUCCCUAAUGAGUCUAUUUUCAUUAGAAAUCAACGAGAAUGUUAUCCGAGUUCUGUACUGUGAGAUAAUUAAUUUUUAGUGAAGAAGGGACGAAACUGUCAGACAGCAGAAUAGGGGUGAAUUUAAAGAAUAAACUAUACUUAAUGGCUAAACCAAAAAUUCUAAAAAUUUUAUUGUAAGAAGAUUUGUGAGUCUAGUUUCAGGAAAAUUAGCGGAUCUUAAUUUAUAAUUCUAUAACUCAAGGUAUGAAUUAGUAAUGUAUUAAUGAUUAUGAAUUGUAUUAAUUUCGUAAUCAAUGUGGUACCAGAAAUCUCGGCUAAGAAAGGACAAGACAAAGUCAACGGGAGUUAUCUCAAAAAUUACGGUUUGUAUUUCUAUGAUCCGAACCUAAUACUUAAUUGUUGAAUUUAUUUCUUAAUAUGUAUAUUAAGUGUUUUGAAGUAAGAAUUAUUGUGUUUUGCAAAUGAAAUGGAUUGAUAUAGUAUGUGAUGAAUUUAUUGAAUUUAUAUUGAUUGAAUUGGCGUAUAUAUAUAAAUAUAUAUAUUGAAUAUUGAAUAUAUAUUGAUUAUUUGAAUUGAAUUGAAAUAUAAAUUGUUUGAAAAUUUUAAAUAUGAGAUUUGUGAUAUUUGGAUAUUUGUUAUUGAAAAGUGAAUUGAAUUGUAUUGAAUUAUGAAUUUAUGUGAUUAAUUAAAAUGUGUAUUGAUUGAAAAAAAUUGAAAGUGAAUUGAAUACCCUAUUAACAGUAUCGGGCUGAGUCGGAUAUAGUUGGCAUGCCAUAGGAUUGGAACUGUUCAGGGAUUCUUCGACCUCGAGUCGAUGAGACACUGGGUGUCACUAUAUUUCUUCGGAUAGAUUCGAUGAGGUACUGGGUACCAACUUUACUUCGGCAGGCCGAUGAGACACUGGGUGUCAAAUGUUGCUUCGAACUAUCCGAUGAGGCACUGGGUGCCAUAUUGGUGUGUUUGGUUGGAUCCGUGUAUCCGCCAAGGUCCGAGUCUUGUUAAUAAGGGUAAAUAAGUGAAAAGAUAAGUCGAGUGAAUUUGAUUGAUUGAGCUAUUGGAAUGAAAUGAGAAAUUGAAAUUGAGAUAUGAGAUUGAAAACAUGAACCAAAAGGUUCAUGAAAUGAGUGAAGUUCAAAUGGAUGAUGAUUGAUGUUAGAAUGAAUUAAAAUGGUAUAUUGUUAAGAAAUAAAGUGUGAAAACAAGUGAAUUGUGAAUAUAUUGUAUAGAAUUUAUACGGUAGGCAAAUGAAAAGAAUUGAACAAAUAUGUUAUUGUGUUUGUUAUAUGACUUGUCUAGAAUUUAUAUGGUAAGUAAUUGAAAAUUUAUCUAUAAAACAAAUAAAUGAAUACUUAUAAUUGUUAUUGUGAUUUUAAGUUUAAUUGUUCUAUUAUUAAGUGUUCGGAUUAUGGAAAUACCACUGAGUAUACCAUACUCAGCGUACGGUUUGUUUCCGUGCGCAGGUUUAGUAAAGAUAGAACGUUGAAUCAGCAUCUCAGUUCGAUCCCGAAUUCAUUAAGGUAAAGUGUGUUAAUUAUUGGUAAUGGCAUGUACCUAGGUUGUUUUAUGAGAGUCAUUUAGGUUGUAGAUGUACUCAUGAAAUGAGUAAAUUAUGGUUGGCAACGGUAUGUAGUAUGAAUUUUGAAAUUUACUAAAAAUUCGUAGUGAUUCUAAAUUAGUCCCGAAUUAAAUUUACUGUUCAUAUUGGACCGCGAGGGCCCAUUAAAGGGACAACAUCUUAAAACUAGGAUGUGUGUAAAUAUUUAUUUUAAUUAAUGACCGAAAUUGGACUGUACUGACUG
rnacentral:lncRNA from 1 species